rnacentral:rRNA from 1 species
UAGGGAAUCUUCCACUAUGGGCGAAAGCCUGAUGGAGCAACGCCGCGUGUGUGAUGAAGGGUUUCGGCUCGUAAAACACUGUUGUAAGAGAAGAAUGACAUUGAGAGUAACUGUUCAAUGUGUGACGGUAUCUUACCAGAAAGGAACGGCUAAAUACGUGCCAG